GAUGAACGCUGGCGGCGUGCCUAAUACAUGCAAGUCGAGCGAACAGACGAGGAGCUUGCUCCUUUGACGUUAGCGGCGGACGGGUGAGUAACACGUGGAUAACCUACCUAUAAGACUGGGAUAACUUCGGGAAACCGGAGCUAAUACCGGAUAAUAUUUCGAACCGCAUGGUUCGAUAGUGAAAGAUGGCUUUGCUAUCACUUAUAGAUGGACCUGCGCCGUAUUAGCUAGUUGGUAAGGUAACGGCUUACCAAGGCAACGAUACGUAGCCGACCUGAGAGGGUGAUCGGCCACACUGGAACUGAGACACGGUCCAGACUCCUACGGGAGGCAGCAGUAGGGAAUCUUCCGCAAUGGGCGAAAGCCUGACGGAGCAACGCCGCGUGAGUGAUGAAGGUCUUCGGAUCGUAAAACUCUGUUAUUAGGGAAGAACAAACGUGUAAGUAACUGUGCACGUCUUGACGGUACCUAAUCAGAAAGCCACGGCUAACUACGUG
rnacentral:rRNA from 1 species